rnacentral:tRNA from 1 species
GCCUGGGUGGCUCAGUUGGUUGAGUGUCUGACUUCGGCUCAGGUCAUGAUCUCACAGCUCGUGAGUUCGAGCCCUGCGUCAGGCU